rnacentral:rRNA from 1 species
GACGAACGCUGGCGGCGUGCUUAACACAUGCAAGUCGAACGGAAAGGCCCUGCUUUUGUGGGGUUCUCGAGUGGCGAACGGGUGAGUAACACGUGAGUAACCUGCCCUUUACUUUGGGAUAACUUCAGGAAACUGGGGCUAAUACCGGAUAGGAGCUCCUGCUGCAUGGUGGGGGUUGGAAAUUUUCGGCGGUUGGGGAUGGACUCGCGGCUUAUCAGCUUGUUGGUGGGGUAGUGGCUUACCAAGGCUUUGACGGGUAGCCGGCCUGAGAGGGUGACCGGCCACAAUGGGACUGAGAUACGGACCAGACUGCUACGGGAGGCAGCAGUGGGGAAUAUUGAACAAUGGGCGGAAGCCUGAUGCAGAAACGCCGCGUGCGGGAUGACGGCCUUCGGGUUGUAAACCGAUUUAGCAUGUGACGAAGAGUGAGUGACGGUAAUGGGUAAAGAAGCACCGGCUAACUACGUG